UGGCCUUCUUUUUCUCUAAAAACCUCGCGUAUUUUUCAAAAACGAACACGUAGCUCUGGGAGCACAGUGCUUAUCAGCGGAGUACGUGGUUCGCCAUCUUGGACAUGCUGUCAGGGGAUCGGAUGCUUUCCGUUCUACGUGAUACAUUGCAGCCCUCUCGUUGCGAUAUUGGCACGUUUAAUGGGAAAUCAUUUUCAUUUCGAAGAUAUCGACGGCUGUUCCACUUAGGGGAUAUCUGUGUUCGUAUUCUGUGGUCGAGGGCAAUGUCUGGCGAAGGGUGUGAAUUUAUGGGCUGGUUUAUAGGGUCCAAACGAUAAAGGGGUGCUGAUUCGGUCGGAAAAUACGACAGAUCUUCUUUACUCUCGCAUAGAAGUGACGUUAAAUCGUGGUAGAAUUUGUCGAAUUGAUCGAGCAUCCGGAGAACGUUCUCGGUUAAUUAUUUUUGCCAAGCGCAGUGGAUGCUCUCGAAGAGAAACUGUUUCCCUGGUAACGGUGGAAAUGUUGAGAACCAUUGAUGGAGAUGCAAAAAUACAUCGUAUCGAUUAGUCGGGAGAUGAUGAACACUUGUUGAUAAAGCUUUCCACUUAGAAACAGCAUCUGUACGGCAAUGAAAAUCUUUCUCCCCUCGGGUUUAUAGUCGACAGUGGACGAGAUGAGUAUCGCGAAUACCGGGCGGCAUUGUAUACUACAUGAAAAUGAUUUGAAAGGCAGUAACUAUUUUUCUAGCGCGGGAACAACGACAAACGCCAUUGUUACUGUUAACUGUAUCUGGAAUAAUAAUCGUGCAAUUAGUGGAAGAGAUACGUAGACGUGUACGUAUGUUUACGCCGGGGACUGUACAAUGGCCUCGGUGUCCGGGGGCAUUAGACUCAAAGCGAUGAGAAAACCCGGCACGUAAUAUCGAAUCGUACCACUGGGAAGUCUUUUAGACGCUGAUUAACUUCAAUGCACCGUGUUGCCAGACACCCGUACAUAAUUAAUCCCUCAUCUUGUCCUGGAUUUACGGGAAUCAAGAUAAUCGCUGCGUACCAUUGUUGCUCGUAGUGUGAAGUCUCGGCGAAAUCGUUACACAUUCUGGGAACAAUGACUCGACUCGUUCAUUCAGUAUCCGCGAAGGUGUCCUAAAUUUUAUCGAGGGCUCCCAAUUCCACGCUGCGUCUGAUAUUGUUUUUAUUUUUUUUUAAUAUAAUGUAAAAUGACAGAGGAAAUCAGCAGUUUUACCUUGUCAGGGUGGAAUGGUUCACCGAAGAAACGACUGUGUCAAUUAGGAAAUUGAUGAACGGCAAUGAAUUAACGAUGUUUUGUGGGCGUGUAAUUGCGAAAUUGACCGAGCUCACCUUCGAUGAUCGGCUUCAGACCAUAAUCGGAUGACCCCCCAGCCCCACCCUUCCUCCCUCGUUCUCGCGUCUCAAAUGGAGUAAUACUUUGGGCCAACUGGCGUCCGCAGUUUAUUUCUCGCUUCCGGCCAAAUUUCCGACGUGUGCGAAGGGUCCCCGCCGAAUAUUUGCGUGCCAGUAGAACAGAUUUUCAACAUUCAUAUAAUCAUGUAACGCAUUUGUAAUAAAAAUAUGUUGUUCAUUUGAGAUCUGGCUUGUGCAAAUUAAACAAAUUUUAAAGAGUUA